rnacentral:rRNA from 1 species
AUUGAACGCUGGCGGCAUGCUUUACACAUGCAAGUCGAACGGUAACAGGUCUUCGGAUGCUGACGAGUGGCGAACGGGUGAGUAAUACAUCGGAACGUGCCCGAUCGUGGGGGAUAACGGAGCGAAAGCUUUGCUAAUACCGCAUACGAUCUACGGAUGAAAGCAGGGGACCGCAAGGCCUUGCGCGGACGGAGCGGCCGAUGGCAGAGUAGGGGGUGGGUGGGAUAAAAGCUUACCAAGCCGACGAUCUGUAGCUGGUCUGAGAGGACGACCAGCCACACUGGGACUGAGACACGGCCCAGACUCCUACGGGAGGCAGCAGUGGGGAAUUUUGGACAAUGGGCGCAAGCCUGAUCCAGCCAUGCCGCGUGCAGGAUGAAGGCCUUCGGGUUGUAAACUGCUUUUGUACGGAACGAAAAGACUCUUUCUAAUAAAGAGGGUCCAUGACGGUACCGUAAGAAUAAGCACCGGCUAACUACGUGCCAGCAGCCGCAGUAA